AGAGCCUUUUCAUUGUUGGGUUUGAGCAGAUCUUGCUGACUGUUAUAUAAUAAACUUUACCUAAAGCACCAGUCUGUUUUAAACAUUCAGUACAGUCACUCCUGCAGCUCCCACUUUACACUAUGGUGGGGGAGAAGAGACAGCAUGCUCCUUUGACAUUCCAGCUCAAGGGAAGUGGGGGGUUGCUGGUGUGGCCUUUCAUUCAACAUGACUGUAAACCAAUCCUCAACUUACUCAGCAGCUGUAACCUCCCACCAUAGAGGAGCUCAGUGCUUGUGGAAGCAGCACCACAUGGACCACAGUACAGCAGUGGAGUAACAACAUUCAUCUCACUGACAGAAGGUCGCAGGUCAAAAUGGCACAGGGGAUUUUCUGAAUAAAAGGUUGCCUCGUCUCCAAAGUGUACUCAGAGGUCCCAUAUGGUGUUUGGGAUUGGAUUUUGGCUGUGACCUUUUUCUUGGUGCCGUCUUCCUUGGGUUCGUACGUCCAUCUAAGACAGGUCAACUGUGCUCGAGGAGGGACAAUGGACAGAAUAACCCCAUAGUGGAGCAAGUGUCCAAAGACAAACUGGAGGAAAUUCUAGAAGUGGAUAAUCAAGAUAUUAAGUCUUGACUUCCUUUUUUAAUUUAGUGGAACUUUAGGUACUAUCACAUAACAUAACAACUUUUACUACUAAAAUAUACUAAAAUAUAGCAAUAUUAUGAUUCAUAAUAAUCACUCAAUGGGUUAGUUCAUCCAAAAAUGAAAAUUCAGUCAUCCUUGACUCACAAGAACCAAUUAAGUCCUUUUAACUGCUACUGAGUUUCUGUUUGCCAUAUUUUAGGUGCUCUAUGUGUGUAUGUUGAUGUUAACAUGUGAAUAAAAUGAAAGUUUCAGUGGUUUGGAAGUUGGAAUGCCAUGAGUGUGUGUAAAUGUUGACAGAAUUUUCAUUUUUGGGUGAACUAACCCUUUAAGAUGAGCAAAUGUAGUUUCUACACUGAGAUCAUACAUGUGAUUAUCAUAGUACACUAUAUUAGCAGUAGCUGUCAAGAAAACUAUGAUUAGACUUGAAAAACACAUUUAUGAACAUUUUCAAUACCAAACAUUAAAUCUCUGGUCAAUUAGAAUCCUAGAUGCAAAAGACGCACACACUGUGUAACAAGAAACCACAUUUUCGUGGUUUUAAUGAUUACAGGCAAGGGGUGAAUUCUAGGCACUGAUGGGUAAAGCAAUGACCAAAGAUAAUGCUGAAUUCAGCAACUAAGGUUAAACAAUGUAAAUGUUAUAGAAAAGGGUUAGAAAGAGGUAUUUGAUACUUUAUUUUUUAAAAGGAACCUUGUUUAUAUAUUUCCAAAAAACAAUGGAUUGAGCAUAUUCAGCUCACCUCAGGUCAACUUUCAACUACUACAAACUCUGUCUCUUUACUGGAUACUAAAACCAGGUAAACAACUUUAUUAAUGCAAAUUGUGUCUGUUUAGAGUGUUGUUUAGUCUUCCGAUGUUCAUGAUGCAGUGCAUUACAUUUGCAUCUCUAUUAUAUAGAGAUAACUGUGAAUUCAAAGCUUUACAGAGCUCAGGUUGAUGCAACUGAAAUGAAGACAAAGGAUUCCCAAUGUAAUGCAAUGCCAAAUUCAAAUGUCAAAGUGUGUUAUAAGACUGCUUCAUCACUUACCUCUAUAGUAAAACUAUAUUUGUUAUUGA